AUUGAACGCUGGCGGCAGGCCUAACACAUGCAAGUCGAGCGGAUGAAGGGAGCUUGCUCCUGGAUUCAGCGGCGGACGGGUGAGUAAUGCCUAGGAAUCUGCCUGGUAGUGGGGUAUAACGUCCGGAAACGGGCGCUAAUACCGCAUACGUCCUGAGGGAGAAAGUGGGGGAUCUUCGGACCUCACGCUAUCAGAUGAGCCUAGGUCGGAUUAGCUAGUUGGUGGGGUAAAGGCCUACCAAGGCGACGAUCCGUAACUGGUCUGAGAGGAUGAUCAGUCACACUGGAACUGAGACACGGUCCAGACUCCUACGGGAGGCAGCAGUGGGGAAUAUUGGACAGUGGGCGAAAGCCUGAUCCAGCCAUGCCGCGUGUGUGAAGAAGGUCUUCGGAUUGUAAAGCACUUUAAGUUGGGAGGAAGGGCAGUAAGUUAAUACCUUGCUGUUUUGACGGUACCAGCAGAAUAAGCACCGGCUAACUUCGUG
rnacentral:rRNA from 1 species